rnacentral:tRNA from 1 species
GUUGGUGUAGCUCAGUGGUAGAGUGCACGCUUUGUGUGUAUGAUAGCCUGGGUUCAAUCCCCAGCCUCUCCC